rnacentral:rRNA from 1 species
CUACGGGUCGCAGCAGUGGGGAAUAUUGCACAAUGGGGGAAACCCUGAUGCAGCAACGCCGCGUGGAGGAUGACGCAUUUCGGUGUGUAAACUCCUUUUAUAUCCCAAGAUAAUGACGGUAGGAUAUGAAUAAGCACCGGCUAACUCCGUGCCAGCAGCCGCGGUAAUACGGAGGGUGCAAGCGUUACUCGGAAUCACUGGGCGUAAAGGGCGCGUAGGCGGGUUGUCAAGUCUUGAGUGAAAUCCAACGGCUCAACCGUUGAACUGCUUGAGAAACUGGCAGCCUAGAGUGAGGGAGAGGUAGAUGGAAUUGGUGGUGUAGGGGUAAAAUCCGUAGAGAUCACCAGGAAUACCCAUUGCGAAGGCGAUCUGCUGGAACUCUACUGACGCUGAGGCGCGAAAGCGUGGGGAGCAAACAGGAUUAGAUACCCUAGUAGUC